UACGUAGGGUCCGAGCGUUGUCCGGAAUUAUUGGGCGUAAAGAGCUCGUAGGCGGUUUGUCGCGUCUGCUGUGAAAUCUCGAGGCUCAACCUCGGGUCUGCAGUGGGUACGGGCAGACUGGAGUGCGGUAGGGGAGAAUGGAAUUCCUGGUGUAGCGGUGAAAUGCGCAGAUAUCAGGAGGAACACCGAUGGCGAAGGCAGGUCUCUGGGCAUUAACUGACGCUGAGGAGCGAAAGCGUGGGGAGCAAACAGG
rnacentral:rRNA from 1 species